GUUCUUGAAAUUUAAAAAAUUUGGCGGUAUUUUAGUCUUUUUAGAGGAACAUGCCCUGUAAUUGAUAAUCCACGAUUAAUUGUACUUAAAUUAAUAGUUUAUAUAUCGUCGUAGUUGAAUACCUUAUGAGAGAGAAGUGUUCAAUAUUUAUAAUAUAAUAAAUAAAAUCAGAUCAAGAUAUAGCUUAUAUUUAAGAAGAGGUGUGUUACAUUAAAAAUAUUUAUGGUUAUAUUAAUUAAAAUUAUUAUAUAAAUUGGAUUUAAAAGUAAUAUAUUUAAGUUAAAAUAUAUGAUUUAAGCUCUGAAAUAUGCACAUAUCGCCCGUCGCUUCCAAUGAAUUUUAAAUUGGAAUAAGUCGUAACAUAGUAGGUGUACCGGAAGGUGUACCUAGUUUGACGAAUUAAAGCUUUAUAAAAGUAUUUUAUUUACAUUAAAAAGAUAUUUGUGAAAUUCAAAUUAAUUUGAAUUUAUAAAUUUAUUAUUUGAAAAUUGAUUAUAUAAAAUUUUAAAAAAAAUAUUUUUUAGUUUAUUUAUUAAUUAAGAUAAAAUUAUUAUUAUUAUAGUUUAUUAGUAUAGUGAUAGAAUAUUGAAAAAGUGAAAAAUAAAAUUUUGAAAAGAAAAAUUUAAUUUUUGUACCUUGUGUAUCAGGGUUUAUUAAAUAUUGAUUAUUAAAUAUUAAUUUUCUCGAAUUUAAAAGAGUUAAGAAAUUAUAAAUUUUAUUGUGAAAUAACUAUUUAAAAUAAUUUUUUAGUAAUGAAACGUUAUUCGUUUUUAAAUUUAUCUAGUUUUUUAAGAAAUAAAUUUAAUUUAGUUAUUUAUUUUAAUAUAAAUAAUUUUAUUAUUUAAUAUUAAUAUAAUUAAUUAAUAUUUUAAGGGAUAAGCUUUAAAGUAAAAUUUUAAAAAUAAAUAUAAUAAAAUAAUAUAAAUUAAUAGGAUUAGAAUUUUUUAUUUUUAAUAAUAUGUUAUAAUAAAUUUAUAUUAAAAUUUAAUUUUUAUAUAAUUUUAAAUUAUUUAUUAAAAUUAUUUAUUUAAUUUAAUAUUAGAUGAAAUAAUGAUAAAAUUAGUAUAAAUUUAAUGUAUAUUUAAUUUAAUUUAGUUAAGGUUAAAUUAAGGAAUUCGGCAAAAAAUUUUUUCUGCCUGUUUAUUAAAAACAUGUCUUUUUGAUUAUAAUUUAAAGUCUAACCUGCCCUAUGAAUAAUUUAAAUGGCCGCGGUAUUUUGACCGUGCAAAGGUAGCAUAAUCAUUAGUUUUUUAAUUAAGAACUGGAAUGAAUGGUUGGACAAGAAAAAUACUGUCUCAAUUUAAUUUAAAUUAGAAUUUUAUUUUUAAGUUAAAAAGCUUAAAUGAUAUUAAAAGACGAGAAGACCCUAUAGAGUUUUAUAUUAUUAAUAUUAUUUAAAUUUUAAGAAUUUAAAUAUUUAUAUUAUUAUUAUUAUUUAAUUGGGGUGAUUAAAAAAUUAAAUAAACUUUUUUUAUAUAAUAACAU
rnacentral:rRNA from 1 species